GAUGUAAUUGCUGGGUCAUAUGGUAAGCAUAUGUUUAGUUUUUUAAAAAAUUGCCAAACUAUUUUCUAGAGUGACUGUUCCAUUUGAUGUUUCCGCCAGCAAU
rnacentral:pre_miRNA from 1 species